GACGAACGCUGGCGGCGUGCUUAACACAUGCAAGUCGAACGGUAAGGCUCCAGCUUGCUGGGGUACACGAGUGGCGAACGGGUGAGUAACACGUGGGUGACCUGCCCUGCACUUCGGGAUAAGCCUGGGAAACUGGGUCUAAUACCGGAUAGGACUGCGCCGUGAGGGUGUGGUGGAAAGUUUUUUCGGUGUGGGAUGGGCCCGCGGCCUAUCAGCUUGUUGGUGGGGUAAUGGCCUACCAAGGCGGCGACGGGUAGCCGGCCUGAGAGGGUGGACGGCCACAUUGGGACUGAGACACGGCCCAGACUCCUACGGGAGGCAGCAGUGGGGAAUAUUGCACAAUGGGCGGAAGCCUGAUGCAGCGACGCCGCGUGGGGGAUGACGGCCUUCGGGUUGUAAACUCCUUUCACCAUCGACGAAGGGUUUCUGACGGUAGAUGGAGAAGAAGCACCGGCUAACUACGUG
rnacentral:rRNA from 1 species